CUCUGUUCCAAGAAUUCUACUCUUUUACAGAGCAUCUUUUUGAGUGUCUUGGUUUUAAUUGGAUUUGGAUCUCCACAUCGUUGGUGGAAGAAGGUUAUCAGAAUGGCUUCAAAAUUUGCGACCACAAUUGGCGACCACGAAGGGACAAGGAAUUAAGGUGAUUGCUGGGAGCCUUGGGGAAUGCCAAAGCCUUGCACAUCAGAGAACACCAAGCGGCCGCUACAAUAAGCUAUCUUUCUGCAGGUGGAGAUGGCAUCUGGAUAACAGAUGGAGAUGCAGAGGUCCUGAAGCAGGUGCUGGCAAUCUGAUGACGAGUGUGAGGGGACAACGGGGUGAAACAGGCUGCUCCAGAAAGCUGAACCAUGACCCAUCCAGUAGCUGCUGAACCUGCUGCAGAGCCUACAGCCCAGGUGGAGCUGUACAGUGCCCAAACCAGCUUCCGAAUGAUGGAUGUGCAAGAUCAACUACUACCCAGCGCCGACCCUGACUUUAAUCAAGAGUAGGACCAAGUCGUCUCGAGUAUUCUUAGAAGCUAUGCGAGAUCCAGCAGUCAAGAAGUACCAAGAGAGACUUUUCUCGGACUCAUAAAUUGGUUGAAAUAUGGACUGAAAAGGGGACACAAGUUGAGUAAAGGUUGAAGCUGACUGCAGAGAAAUGUCAACCUUGAAGCUAACAAAGGACAUUUCAAAGCCCACACUGAGAAGUCUGUUCAGAAGAAGUUGCACCUGACCAAGAUGAAAUCCAAAAUUGGGAAUUAAUUGUUUAAUUGUGUUAUUUUUAAUGUCACUAAUGGUGUUGUGUAAUCCAUGUGUGUAUUAUGUGUCUCUGCUGAUGUGUUUUAUGCCUUACUUUCAUUUUCCUGUAAUUAGGCUGAUUUUUAAGUUUCUUGAGUAUUCUGUUAAGGAUACUGUGGAGUAUGAUUUGCAAAUGAAGAUGAAUCAAUUUGUCUUAAAUUAAUUGACUAAGAGAAAUGGAAUCUUGGGAGAAUGUUAUGUUGAUAACUGUGAGGUUUUUGGUGGCAGGAAGGGCCUAUUCAACUGAGCAACAACUGUGUGGGAUCUUUAUACAAAUUCUUAUGUUCUAUUUACAGCUUGCUUUUACGUAUGUUAGCAAAAAAA